rnacentral:sRNA from 2 species
GUUAGCAGGCUGGGAUGAAUCUUUCUGUUGAAGAUCGUGUUUUUUCCUGAUUCGAGAUCUGAGCGGAUGUUUGUUGAAAAUAAACAACAACACCCGAUCUCUUUGAAGUUUUCGCCCUGUUUCCGCCUUUCUACAGCUUUCCCUUGAUUUUAGAUCCAAGACUGAAUUCAUCUCUAGCAAUACAGUAUGUACUAGCUACACAAAAUACAUUUUAGUGAUGAUAGUGGGAAAAGAAAAGACAGCAAACGCGGAAUGGGAAUAGUAAUAUACAACACGUAACCAACAAGUGAUGCCUCUAUCAAAGAUUUGGCGAUGAUUGGACCCAGUUUUAAGGAAAGAAAGGAAAGAAAAAUCAGCAUUUGAGCUGGGAAAGAAAUAACGUUAUAGAUAGCUUUCUAGGUGAGGUAAUAUUUCGGGCCCUCCCCACCUUGAGGAGUCUGCCAAUUGAUGUCCUG